rnacentral:siRNA from 1 species
UUAACACAAGCCCACCAAACA